GUAGAAGCGAAGGGGAGGAAUCAGAACUGAGCAAAGGAGGCGGGCACCUUACCGUGAAGUCUUGACCGCCUCACCAGACCUCGGAAUCAUCUGGAGCGAAAGUGACCCUUCAGAGCUGUCCAGCUUCAGAACAAAGCCAAUGAGCCUUGAUAGUUAUGCCUCCAUCGGUCACUGGACGUGAAAUGAGCCUGGAAGGACAUGUCUCAAAGCGAGACAGCCACGCUCUUGAGACAAUCACUCAACAGCCGCUGCCCUCUGCAGUGUGGCCUGUCUCUCCGCCGGCCCAGCCUGCUCCUGGGUGCCGCCAGCAGGCUCCGAGCCUGCCGCGGACCUGGAAAAGACCAGGAGCCCCAACAAGGAGCCGCCGCGGGGCCUCCGCCUCCCUUCCCCCCGCAGAAGCUGCACCACCUGGAGGUGCUUUAAUGCUAGAAAUGGCCUCUGAGACAGCUGCCCAGAAAGGGGGACAUUCUCAAGACGUCUUAGAGGAAACAGGAACAUGCACGAAGGAAAACCGACAAAUCAGAGAGAGAGGAAAGCAUCACUGCAAGUCAAAAAAAUAGAAUUCUGUUCUUUAAAAGUCACUGCUUAAGAUGGCAUGAUGUGCAUUUGACUUGUUAAACAGCCUGUUACGGAACCAAAACACCUGUCACCACUAUAAAUGUCUUCCGGGUGUCAGUCUCAUAUUUAGCAUUGCCUACUUACUUUCUCUAAUAGGGAAACCAUACCUUAGGUUGGAGCGAACAGCGGUCCUGGAGCAAUCACAGGGAUUUAUCUAUAAGGAUACAGCUUCCUCCCCUGAAGCUCACUUUCACAGCAAUAGAUGAUUACGGUCCAGAGGAAGUGCAAACUAAGGUGUUCAAUCUGUUAUCAUCAUCAUUUGCUGUGAAUUGAAAUGAAAACCUAUAUUCACUCACUAAACCCAGCCUUCACUCACCUGUAAAAUCUCCCUGUCAAGGAUAAGCCAAUGACCCACACCUGACACUGUUGCCAACCAGGGUUCUUGGCCUCCUUAAUCAAUAAAAAUUGAUCAGAGGCCAGAAUAGAAAUUCAGGAGAGGCUUUAUCAGGGCACCUGCUGUCUCAGGGGCACAAGAACAAGUGACGGAUUCCCUUGCUCGCUGGCUCCCUGGGCAGGGAGGUGGGGGGGUUGGUUAGCUUGCUCCUCACAUG
ensembl:lncRNA